rnacentral:rRNA from 1 species
GGACGACGCUGGCGGCGUGCUUAACACAUGCAAGUCGAACGGUGAAGGGGCCUGCUUUUGUGGGUCCUGGAUGAGUGGCGAACGGGUGAGUAACACGUGAGUAACCUGCCCCCUUCUUCUGGAUAACCGCAUGAAAGUGUGGCUAAUACGGGAUAUUCUGGGUCUGUCGCAUGGUGGGCCUGGGAAAGAUUGCGCUUUUUUGGUGUUUUUGGUGGGGGAUGGGCUCGCGGCCUAUCAGCUUGUUGGUGGGGUGAUGGCCUACCAAGGCGGUGACGGGUAGCCGGCCUGAGAGGGUGGACGGUCACACUGGGACUGAGACACGGCCCAGACUCCUACGGGAGGCAGCAGUGGGGAAUAUUGCACAAUGGGCGCAAGCCUGAUGCAGCGACGCCGCGUGAGGGAUGGAGGCCUUCGGGUUGUGAACCUCUUUCGCCAGUGAAGCAGGCCUGCCUCGUUUGUGGGUGGGUUGACGGUAGCUGGAUAAGAAGCGCCGGCUAACUAC